rnacentral:tRNA from 1 species
GGGGGUGUAGCUCAGUGGUAGAGCGCGUGCUUAGCAUGCGCGAGAACCCGGGUUCAAUUCCUGGCACCUCCA